rnacentral:miRNA from 1 species
GUAGCCGUAACUGGGUUCAAGUAAUCCAGGAUAGGCUUGGUAUCUGUCUCGGCCUAUGCUUGAUUACUUGCACUUGGAGACGGCGACGUAACCACGGCAACCUGCAGAAGA